rnacentral:misc_RNA from 1 species
GAUGAAGAACGUAGCGAAAUGCGAUACGUAAUGUGAAUUGCAGAAUUCAGUGAAUCAUCGAGUCUUUGAACGCACAUUGCGCCCCUUGGUAUUCCGGGGGGCAUGCCUCUUCCAGCGUCAUUUCACCCCUCAAGCUCUGCUUGGUUUUGGGCCGCGCCGGCAACGGCGGGCCUCGAAAAUAGUGGCGACGCCAUCGUGCUCUCAGCGUAGUAAUUCUUCUCGCUGUUGGGUCCCGGUGGUCGUCCGCCAGCAACCCCCAACUUUCUUAAGUUUGACCUGGGAUGAGGUAGGGAUACCCGCUGAACUUAAGCAUAUCAAUAAGCGGAGGA